rnacentral:rRNA from 1 species
GAUGAACGCUGGCGGCGUGCCUAAUACAUGCAAGUCGAGCGAACAGACGAGGAGCUUGCUCCUCUGACGUUAGCGGCGGACGGGUGAGUAACACGUGGAUAACCUACCUAUAAGACUGGGAUAACUUCGGGAAACCGGAGCUAAUACCGGAUAAUAUAUUGAACCGCAUGGUUCAAUAGUGAAAGACGGUUUUGCUGUCACUUAUAGAUGGAUCCGCGCCGCAUUAGCUAGUUGGUAAGGUAACGGCUUACCAAGGCGACGAUGCGUAGCCGACCUGAGAGGGUGAUCGGCCACACUGGAACUGAGACACGGUCCAGACUCCUACGGGAGGCAGCAGUAGGGAAUCUUCCGCAAUGGGCGAAAGCCUGACGGAGCAACGCCGCGUGAGUGAUGAAGGUCUUCGGACCGUAGAACUCUGUUAUUAGGGAAGAACAGAUGUGUAAGUAACUAUGCACGUCUUGACGGUACCUAAUCAGAAAGCCACGGCUAACUACGUG